rnacentral:rRNA from 1 species
CCUACGGGUGGCAGCAGUGGGGAAUAUUGCACAAUGGGGGAAACCCUGAUGCAGCGACGCCGCGUGAGUGAAGAAGUAAUUCGUUAUGUAAAGCUCUAUCAGCAGGGAAGAAAAUGACGGUACCUGAGUAAUAAUCCCCGGCUAACUACGUGCCAGCAGCCGCGGUAAUACGUAGGGGGCAAGCGUUAUCCGGAUUUACUGGGUGGAAAGGGAGCGUAGACGGCAGUGCAAGGCUGGAGUGAAAGGCGGGGGCUCAACCCCCGGACUGCUCUGGAAACUGUACGGCUGGAGUGCAGGAGAGGUAAGUGGAAUUCCUAGUGUAGCGGUGAAAUGCGUAGAUAUUAGGAGGAACACCAGUGGCGAAGGCGGCUUACUGGACUGUAACUGACGUUGAGGCUCGAAAGCGUGGGGAGCAAACAGGAUUAGAUACCCCUGUAGUC